AUUGAACGCUGGCGGCAGGCCUAACACAUGCAAGUCGAGCGGAUGAAGGGAGCUUGCUCCUGGAUUCAGCGGCGGACGGGUGAGUAAUGCCUAGGAAUCUGCCUGGUAGUGGGGGAUAACGUCCGGAAACGGGCGCUAAUACCGCAUACGUCCUGAGGGAGAAAGGGGGGGAUCUUCGGACCUCACGCUAUCAGAUGAGCCUAGGUCGGAUUAGCUAGUUGGUGGGGUAAAGGCCUACCAAGGCGACGAUCCGUAACUGGUCUGAGAGGAUGAUCAGUCACACUGGAACUGAGACACGGUCCAGACUCCUACGGGAGGCAGCAGUGGGGAAUAUUGGACAAUGGGCGAAAGCCUGAUCCAGCCAUGCCGCGUGUGUGAAGAAGGUCUUCGGAUUGUAAAGCUCUUUAAGUUGGGAGGAACGGCAGUAAGUUAAUCCCUUGCUGUUUUGACGUUACCAACAGAAUAAGCACCGGCUAACUUCGUG
rnacentral:rRNA from 1 species